AUGAGUAAUGCUACCUUCUCUAUCUGUUCGUGGAAUGUAAGUGGUUUAGGAGACGAUUCCAAAUGCUCUGACGUGCUGUCCGAACUGAUCUCGAUCAACCCUCACAUUGCCUUACUGCAAGAAUCAAAACUCGAUGCGAUCUCUGAUCCAAAGUUAAGAUCCUUCCUGCCUCGGCAACUAGACCAAGCCUUCUCCUUACCAGCCAUCGGUACGGCAGGUGGCACCAUCUCUGCCGUUAACACCGCAUCUUUCCAAGUCAUCUCCUUCAACCACCACACCUUCUCAUCAACCUUAAUCUUGCGAUCAACGGCAACCGACCGCAACAUAGCUAUCACCGAUAUCUACGCCCCUUCCUCUCGCGCCCUCAAACACUCUUUUCUCACUGAGUUACUAGCUAUCACCCAACCAGAUGACUCGCCCAGGCUUCUAGUGGGAGAUUUUAACCUCCUCCGUUACCCCGCUGACAAAAAUAACGAUGCGUUUAGACAGUCCGAGGCCAAUGCUUUCAACCAAACCCUCAACAAUCUAUCUCUCAUCGAACUUCCGCUUCUAGAUCGCCAGUUCACCUGGUCCAACAAUCGAGCAUCCACCACCCUAGAACGGAUCGACCGCGCCUUCUUUAAUUUAGCCUGGGCUGAUGCCUUUCCCAACUCGUCCCUCUCUUCACUCACGCAUUUCACGCCCCGACCACGUACCCCUCAUCAUACACGUCACCACAACGAUCCCGCGGUCCAAAAUUUUCAAAUUUGA
rnacentral:rRNA from 1 species